UGGGGAAUUGUUCGCAAUGGGCGCAAGCCUGACGACGCAACGCCGCGUGGAGGAUGAAGGUCUUCGGAUUGUAAACUCCUGUUGCCCGGGACGAAACGCCUCGACCUAACACCUCGAGGUUUGACGGUACCGGGUGAGGACGCCCCGGCUAACUCUGUGCCAGCAGCCGCGGUAAUACAGAGGGUGCAAACGUUGCUCGGAAUUACUGGGCGUAAAGCGCGUGUAGGCGGGCUUGUAAGUUGGACGUGAAAGCCCUGGGCUCAACCCAGGAAUUGCAUCCAAAACUACAAGUCUAGAGUGAUGGAGAGGGUAGCAGAAUUCCUGGUGUAGAGGUGAAAUUCGUAGAUAUCAGGAGGAACACCGGUGGCGAAGGCGGCUACCUGGACAUCAACUGACGCUGAGACGCGAAAGCGUGGGGAGCAAA
rnacentral:rRNA from 1 species